GCCCGAGGCGGGUCUGCCAACCUCGGCCGUGCCACACAACCCGCGGCGGGCGGAGACACCGCCCCCAUAGGAUCGCGUGUUAAAGCAGAACCUCCCCCCGCCCUCAGCCGCAGUUGAAAUGAAUUCUACUGCUAUAGUAACUCAUACUACGACCACACACCGGGAUGGAGCUGGUGAGGUAGCGCACAGGCUGGGCACGCGUCGUGCCGGUUGAGUGCUCGCAGCAGCGCGGUGCUCGCACUGCUGCUGCGGUGCCCAGUCCAGGGUAACCCAGAGGAGCGCAGCGUGGGCUGCGGGAUGACGCACCUCUCCUGCAAUACACACAGGCGACUAUAUGGGCAGCGCUGAUUCCCUAUCGCCGUGUAACACCAGCAGUGCUCUCCUUCCUUCCAGCUACCUGUGGCAUCGCAUCAUGCCCGGAGCUGUCCAGACACGAGGCCCUUCUGAGCCCUCACCUGACGCCCAUCCAUCCGAAAGACCGCUGUUCCCUCCUUGCCGCGGGCCUAUCUCACACGGAGCAGUCCAGCUGACACUGCCCCAAAGUGAAGGAGAUGGCAUCUACUCCUGACUUACUUACACGGAGCCACAGGAGAAGUGCCACAGAACAUAGCCACGUUACGUCAUGGGAGACAGCCUAAUUGCCAAGUGGGGCUGCAGUCAGGGUGUACACAUUUCACCACGUGCAGACAAACUUGUAUGGUGUAUUAAAGUCUGCAGCCAUUUUAAUCUCUUACAGAGGGAAAAAAAAAAAAAGCAGGGUUUAUGUGAAUUCUUUAAUUAGACAUAAAAUUGCCAUGCAAAGACUCUAAGGAAGUAAGUGGUUAUGCAGUUGGAAUCCUAGAGGAAAAAGUAAACAACUUUACUGAGAAAAACAGAUUGAAAACAAUCAUGAUAUUAAGAGGAGAACGGAUGGAGGUUUGGACUCUCUCUUUUUUCCCCCUUCCCUUUUGAAACCUAAGAAUAUCUGCAGCUCAUCUUCAACUUGAUCCCUCUUUAGUAUUUCUCAGCAUGUACUACUUCAGUACCGUGGUCAUUCUUGACCAGAACUUGGUACACAACUGUGUACAGGAGCUCCAGCAUUAGAAGCCAUAGCAUCAGCACUUUUCUUGGUCUCUAAGAGAACGCACCUCAUCUGAGCCAACCCCUUAUUUAUGCCAAACUUUUGCAAAUUACUUAACAUGCCUAGAAGACCCAAACCCCCCAUGGUGUGCUGCUGAAAGGCAGUUGGCAUGACCAGAUGCCUAGCCUCACACAUACCGUGGCUCUGGAACCACCACCAGGCAGCUCAGUGCCCAGGGCUCUGCUGGGCAUGGGUUGUCCUUUGUGUAGCACCAGGCUCUGGCUUACAUUAUCAUACCCAGCCCUGCCUGACAUACACUGCUAGGUUAAGCAAGGCAACUUGGCUAGUUUGGCAAAGGGAACAAAGCUUUUAAAAAUGUGAUGUGGCGAGAUAGCAUUAGAAUCCAGGAUGUGUGCCUUCAAGAGUCAAGGACAGCUUAAAACAAAACAAUUUUUUUAAAAAAGCAAGAAGAAUAGGAAGAGAAGGCACACCACGUGAUAUGUUACUGAGAAGGAACUUCACAUGUGAGCUAAGGAAAUACAGCAUUGUAAACGUGCUAUUUAUAUAGUGCUGAAAGCGUACUUUUACAGGGACAUAAACACUCUUCACCCCAGUGCAUAUAAUCUGCCCUUCAGAAGCAGAUCAAGACAGUGCUCUACUAGAGCCAAUUCAGUCUUUGUUCAAAAACCAAACAAAUCUCAACUUUUGGUUUGAAAAUUUGGUUUGGGCUCAAAGUCGCUCAACUGGUCCAUGCCUUGCCCAUAAAGAAAGUGAUCUUCCAAACACUGAAGGUAAGAUUUUACACAGAGACUGUGAUCACUUCUGUUAUUUAACUUUUUUUUUUUUUAAAGCUGCACCAUACAGAUUCAGGAGGAAAAAGUAAAAAGAAAACAAAACUUUAUCCAAGCUUUAACUUCAGGACCAAAGGACUUUCAGAUGUUUAUGUCUAGUGGCAACUCAUAUCAUAAACACUUGCUUCCAGCAUCAUGACUGAGUAAGCCUGUAGUCCAACAAAGUCUCUCAGACUUGGUGCUUCUCCACAUGCCACACAAGUAUGUUUGCAUAGGUAAAAGAAAACUAUAGGCAAACUCUGCUAAUGCACCUAUCCUCUACUCAAAGUUGUUGUCUUUGAUGAUUGUUCGGAGUCACUUCUCAAUGACCAGAGGCUCUGCAGAGUGGGGAAGAGAAAACCAGAACCAGCCUUUCCAAAGAUAAAGUUGAAAAAAAAGCAAAUGAGCAAAAAUAAAUAAAUAAAUAAAUAAUAAUAAUAAUAGUAAUAAAAAGCUCCUUUUACCUGAUAUUAAACACGUAUCCUAUCUUGUUUUGAAUUGAUCUGGAGGAAAUUGUAGUUGGCAGUGACUCUCAAAUAUAUGAUCAAUCAUUCUGCUUUUUUAUAUGUACGUGAAAGACACAACUUGCCAGAGUGGAAUGCAUGUACCUCACAAAAUAUUUGAGACACCUAUAGUGAGAUUAUUUUUCCUCUUUUCUGCUUUCUUAGUUCUUACCCAUUUCUCUGGAGGUAACGUGUGCCAAAUAACUGGCAGUCUGGCACAACAGCACUUAUAUUCCAAGUAUUAUGAAAGAUAGAUAACAAGAAGCCUGUUGCUUUUCUUUUCAGGGGAGCUGAACAAUGAAUCUUAUAUGGCAUCAGUAGGUACAGAUUUAAAUCUCUCUCCACUGUUACUCUCUGCUUCUGUGACAUGAAGUUAAGGCCCAAAUCCUACAAAAUAUUUAACAGGAAAAAUCUCACAGCCCAAAAGUUUCCCCAAGGCAAUAUUUGCAUACAAUUUGUUGCAAGAUUAGGAUCAGAGACUUUUUUCUCCCUAUUUUUCUGCCUCAUUGGGUGUUAUUUUGGACUUGCUAUGUUUUUCAGUUUACAUUGUUUUGACUAGAGUCAAAACUGUUGUUACAUUUAAGUCAGUGUCCACUUUACUAAUUGAUGGGCUGCUGAAGAUCAGCCACGGAGAUUUAGAUUGCAGAGCAAGAAUCUGGCUCAAAGAAGUGAUUACAUGAGAUAUGUAAGGAGCAAAGCCUGUAAGACUGAUUCAUACCAUAAAUGAUUUGACCAAGAGUACAAGGCUGUGGUACAUUCACAGUGAAAAUAUGGCACCUGGUUACAGUGUCUGGCUUCCAUCCAACUUCUUCCAUCCAACUUUAGCUGUCCUCCUUUUGCAGGUAUCAAAGCAUUUUAUAAAUACCAGUCAAGUAGAAUAAAAUCUGCUCCUUUCAAAUAUUUAGUUACUGUCUACCAGUGCUUUAUAAUACAGAGAACAUACCUCUGCUCUCCUGGAACACGGCAGGAAGCAGAAGUUUCUCUUUUGAAGGCAAUGGAGUUCCUCUGCCUCUGACUUCCAAGCAGUGUCUAACCCAGCUAUAUAUUUUAAUCUAACAGUAAGAUUUUUACUUCAGAAUUUGUUUUCAUUCUGAAUCUGAGAAAGUGGACACACUGUAGAUAUCUUGUAAAAAAAUUGUGUAACCAUGCUUGUCAUCAACAUUUUAAAUAGUAGCACCAAUAUUGCAAUACUUACUUUACCACUGUAUUGAAAACAAAAGCAACUGAAAUGAAAGUCAGCACGAAAUGUUUUCCUCUUUUCAGAGUAAACAAGAAUAUUGAUAUAAUGCAUUUCUGCUCUCUGCUUUUUAAAAUGGCAUUGAAAACAACAUAAUCUCACAAUAAAUUUUAGAUUUCACUUAACUUUCCAACUGGAAAGUGUAAAGACAAAUAUUUCAGGAUUGGUCCUACUUGGUAGUGCUUUGCAAAUGCUCUCUAUUAACCUAAAUGACUGCAUAAGUUAGAGGAAAAAGGUAAACCUGGCCCUCUGAGAGCAAAGGAGCAUGUGGUACAUGUUAAUGGCUAUCAAUUCACAUAUACUUGCUUACAGAGAUCUGUGGCAGCUCUGAGUGUUUCACUGUGUCCAAUUUCUUCUUGUAUAAAUAAAGAAGAGCAUGAAUACUUGAAAAGAUGAAGGUUCCUCUGGAGCCGAAGAGCCAGCACUACUACAAAGAAAUUCUUAUGCCUCUUUAAUUACCCUC